UGAACCUACUGACAUGCUUCUCUAGGAAGAGCAGGUAGGAAGAACCUGCCAGGCAAUUAUAAAUUUGGGAGCUCACCCAGGAUGUACCCUUGCAGAUGCCUGUCUGAGGUUUGUCAGCCCACUACCGGUACACAGACCUGGAGGUGAAAUCUGGUGGCCACUUGUUUCUCUUGAACUGACGGCCAUCUGUGGUGCUGUCCCUGUUGGGGGCAGUAUUACUGACCUAUAGUGCCUGGACCUAAUUGCAGUGGAGAAAUAGUUCUUGGAAGACAUCUUUAAACUGGUCUGAUACUAAGUUCCCAAGAGCCUGAAAGAGACAUUUGGCUUAUUUGUUAUGUUACAGUCACAAGGAAGCAUUGUCAGAGUCAAGAAAACAUAUUUUCUUUUGAGCCAUUUACAACAUUUAAUAGUUGAGUAAAGUAUACUACCGUGAGAAAAAAUAGAACAUAUCUAUAUGUCUCUACAUGAUUUCUCCAGAAUUUUGAAAAAAUUGCCCAGGAACCCCAAGUUAUUUUUGGACUUCAAGAAGAGAGAAAUUCACUCAAUUUAUACAGUGAUUUUAGAACCUGUUUUGGAUUUUGUUCCUGAGCAAUUACCUAGGUGGCCUGACACCUGAACCAUUUUAUUAAACCACAAACCUGUUCAGCCGAACCUGUCAAAGCAAGAUGGAAGCAACCCACUGAGCUUCUGUCAUGAAAAGCCUCCUUACGGUGGAAACGUCUGCACCAACUUUUAUUUAUUUAGACUCUUUAAAAACCUCUUGACCUCAUUUUUCUCCUUUAAAAUUCUACUCUCAGAAAAAAAAAAGAUUAUACUGCCAAUGUAUACACUUUGGAGUGUGUGAAUAGUUAAUCUCUCCUCAAACACUAUCCCUAUUCAGAUAUUCUAAAGACUUUAAAAGCUUCUUUUCUUUUAAAAUAUAUUGUAAAGUCCAAAAGACAAUUAAGAAAAGGACUUUGUAAGUGGUAUAGAAUAUCUUAAUGGAGUCACACCACGUAAUAUACUUAGGUAUUUAGGGGAUUUACUUUUACUUUUUGGAAGUCAGUAUAUUUAAUUUUAUGAGUUGGAAGUUUUAGACUGAUAUGGUUAACUUACUUUUCUAACACAAGUAAAUGAUUGCUAGUCUUUAUAUAUUUCUGGUAAAGGCCAGAUGUGGAGUAAUUGUUGUAUGUGUAUAUAAAUUAAUGUACAUUCAGGAACACACAUGCACAUGUACACACACACACACUCACUACCAAUAGCCUCUCUCUGUAGAGUAAAAAGGGAUAGCAGACUUUGGUAAAUGUUAUUUGUUUGUCACUUCCCCUGAAGUUCAUAAACAUGCAAACACAAACACAUGGCACAUGUAUACAUAUGUAACUAACCUGCAC
rnacentral:lncRNA from 1 species